rnacentral:lncRNA from 1 species
AUGCAGAGGAGUUCGAUCUGUGGCGAGAUGUGUGUCCCCAUGUUUAACCCCACCUCCACGGUGAGUUCCAGGCACGCCCUGCAGCACUCUGCCCCACCAAGCCCCAGCUCCAGGGCAGGAGCCCAGCUGGAUGCAAGCUGCUCUGGAGCCAAGGGAGCUGGAACAGUAAAGUGUGGUCAUGCAGAAAGAGUCCUUGCCCUGGAGCCCAGAUUAUCCCUGCAGAGAGACCAGAGUGUUUCCAUAUUUCAGCUAUUGACCAUCAAAACGAAAGCUGAUAAGGGCCACGUCUAUGCCAAGGUGCCUUGUGAGAGGUGAAAUAACCGCACCCCAUCAGGCAGGAUCCUGAACACAGCUGAAGCACAAGAACACCUCCGGCCUCAACAGCCCACACCAGCAUUGCUAAAUGGUGCUCCAUAUAUGCUGCCCAAGAUAUGUGCUGCUCCUAAGAUAUCCAUGCCACAGCACCCAGGCUGCAGGAAUUCAUUCAUUUUUUUUUCUCCAAAAACAUGUUUUUGCAAUAGGGAACAUGGAAGCAAUGACAGCGCUGGCUGGUGAGGGAAACACCUUGCCGUCUUUGGCUGUGCCUGUGCCAUGUCUGCCCAUAUAGAGAGCAUGGGCGGCAUGGGUUUGUCUGUGGUAGCAACACAACGCUCCCAGGCUGUGCACUGAACAUGGAAAAUACCAAAGAUCCCAGAAUAGACUGGACCUAUCUGCUGACAGGAAUAUGUGCCAAGUACGAGCUUCUGGUUUUUUAUCUUCUGGGUGUUCCUGGGCCCCAGCACUGUGUACCACAGAAGUUGCCCAUAGCAAGCGGCUUCCCUGAUGUGCAUUUUCACUGGCAGGGAUGAUAUCCAUCAGUGCUGAGGAAAUCUUCAAGGUUUCAUCAUCCUCCCGGGCAUUGCAAACAGGACGUCCUGGCAGUGAUCCUCUGUGCCUGGAGAUGGGAGGGGGGCACGGCUAUGGGGACACGGCUGAUGGGGACGAGGCUGAUGGGGAUGUGAUGUUGCUGACAGGGCAGCUAUUGGGGUACACCGCUGGCAUGGGGGGACAGCACUCGUGGGGGGACAUCACUGACAGGGGAGCACAGCUGGUGGCAGAGACACUAUGAACAGGGAGUUGAUGGUGGGGCUGACAGGGGGACAGAGCUGAUAGGGAAGAUAGCUGAUGGGGAAGAUAGCUAACAGGUGGAAAUGGCUGAUGGGGGAGAUGGCUGAUGGGGGUACAUGGUUUAUGGGGGGACAUGGCUGAUGGGGGAGAUGGCUAACAGAUGGACAUGGCUGAUGGGGGAGAUGGCUAAUGGGGGAGACGGCUGAUGGGGGAGAAGGCUGAUGGGGGGGUGUGACAUGGCUGAUUUGGGGACAUAGCUGGCAGGGGGAUGUGGCUGACAGGGGGACAUGGCUGAUGGGGGGGAUGGAGAUGGCUGAUGGGGAAGAUGGCUAACAGAUGGACAUGGCUGAUGGGGGAGAUGGCUGAUGGGUGGACAUGGUUUAUGGGGGGACAUGGCUGAUGAGGGAGAUGGCUGGCGGGGAGGACAUGGCUGAUUUGGGGACAUAGCUGACAGGGGGAUGUGGCUGACAGGGGGAUACGGCUGAUGGGGGAGACAUGGCUGACAGAAGGACACGUCUGGCUGAGCGUACUCCACUGCCGGGGACACAGCCGACGCGAGACACCACCAAGGGGGGGCACACGG